GGGCCCGUAGCUCAGUUGGGAGAGCGCGUGAAUGGCAUUCACGAGGUCAGGGGUUCAAAUCCCCUCGGGUCCA
rnacentral:tRNA from 2 species